CUACGGGUGGCAGCAGGCGCGCAACUUCCGCAAUGCGCGAAAGCGUGACGGGGGUAGUCUGAGUGCUAUCCUAACGGAUAGCUUUUGCCAGCCCUGACGAAGCUGGCGAAUAAGGGGUGGGUAAAUCUCGUGCCAGCCGCCGCGGUAACACGAGUAGCCCUAGUGGUGUCCGCGAAUAUUGAGCUUAAAGAGUUCGUAGCCGGUUUAGUUAGUUUUCUGUGAAAUCUCUCGACUCAAUCGAGAGGCUUGCAGGAAAUACUGCUAGACUUGAGAGUGGAGGAGGUCAAGGGUACUGUAGGGGGAGGAGUAAAAUCCUGUAACCCUUGCAGGACCAUCAGUGGCGAAGGCGCUUGACCAAGACACGUCUGACGGUGAGGAACGAAGGCUAGGGGAGCGAACGGGAUUAGAUACCCUAGUAGUC
rnacentral:rRNA from 1 species